CCUACGGGUGGCUGCAGUCGAGAAUCAUUCACAAUGGGGGAAACCCUGAUGGUGCGACGCCGCGUGGGGGAAUGAAGGUCUUCGGAUUGUAAACCCCUGUCAUGUGGGAGCAAAUUAAAAAGAUCGUACCACAAGAGGAAGAGACGGCUAACUCGGUGCCAGCAGCCGCGGUAAUACAGAGGUCUCAAGCGUUGUUCGGAAUCACUGGGCGUAAAGCGUGCGUAGGCUGUUGCGUAAGUCGUGUGUGAAAGGCGCGGGCUCAACCCGCGGACGGCACAUGAUACUGCGAGACUAGAGUAAGGGAGGGGGAACCGGAAUUCUCGGUGUAGCAGUGAAAUGCGUAGAUAUCGGGAGGAACACUCGUGGCGAAGGCGGGUUCCUGGACAUUAACUGACGCUGAGGCACGAAGGCCAGGGGAGCGAAAGGGAUUAGAUACCCUUGUAGUC
rnacentral:rRNA from 1 species